AGUGCAAUGUGACUCACGAGCGCUGCCGGGGUCGGAAGGAAGCAGCGAG
rnacentral:SRP_RNA from 14 species